UGCCUAAACCCAUUGAAAGUGAUUUUGAUGGGCAUGGCAUAAAUCCAUCCAAGGUAUAGAACCCGUCGUCAGGGAUCCUUGGAUGGUCGUGUGUGGAAACGCAUACGUUGAGGCCGAAAGGCUUCUA
rnacentral:sRNA from 1 species